GUUAUAUAAGUCUGGUUUUCGUAACGAUUAGUAUAUCUUUUUUUUAAAAAAAAAUAAAAAUAAAUAUAAAUAAUUUUUUUAAAAACUUAUAAUAACAAUAAUAAUAACAACAAUGAAUCGUUUCAUUGUAUUGUUUGAAGUAGUCAUCUGUACUGCUAUUCUAUCAAUCAUACCGGCCUUAGCUCAAGAUGACGGUGAUAGUGGCGCAGCAAUUGGGCCUCCGGGUGCUUAUGAAGCUCCCUAAACAAACAACAACAACAACAACAACAAAAAUUUAACUAAAACAACAAUUAUUAAAAAUAUCGAAAAUUAUCUUUAAAUAUAUAUAUAAUUAAAAGU